GUAGACUGCAGGUUUUCAAACCUCUUGAUGGUCACCCUGAGUAAGGAGGAUUUGACUCACUAGCCCCUGCAGCAUUCCUUGCAUUCUCACACAACUGGUGAAAAUACAGAUCUCAUCUACACUUCCAUAAAUAGCCUGUGCAGUCAGAAGUGCUCCAUUUUUCCAGGAGGCCUGGAUUUUCAUUCCGUAUGGCAUCAGCUGAAGAACAGAAGAUGCUACUUUCCCUACAGAUCAAGACUGUCUGUCCUCCUUCUGAGAACACCAGUCCUGUAGAAAAGGACUGAAGCUCUUCGAAGGGUAUGGCAACAGAAGAUGCAGAGUUUUUCCUGGU